rnacentral:rRNA from 1 species
CCUACGGGUGGCAGCAGUGGGGAAUUUUCCACAAUGGGCGAAAGCCUGAUGGAGCAACGCCGCGUGUGUGAUGAAGGUCUUCGGAUCGUAAAGCACUUUCGACCGGGACGCGGUACCGGGAGAAGAAGCACCGGCUAACUCUGUGCCAGCAGCCGCGGUAAUACAGAGGGUGCAAGCGUUGUUCGGAAUUAUUGGGCGUAAAGCGCGUGUAGGCGGCUUGGCAAGUCAGAUGUGAAAGCCCUCGGCUUAACCGAGGAAGUGCGUCUGAAACUGCUGAGCUUGAGUGUCGGAGAGGAUGGCGGAAUUCCGCAAGUAGAGGUGAAAUUCGUAGAUAUGCGGAGGAACACCGGGGCGAAGGCGGCCAUCUGGACGACACUGACGCUGAGACGCGAAAGCGUGGGGAGCAAACAGGAUUAGAUACCCUUGUAGUC